rnacentral:rRNA from 1 species
CCUACGGGUGGCAGCAGUGAGGAAUAUUGGUCAAUGGGCGCUACCCUGAACCAGCCAAGCAGCGUGAAGGAUGACUGCCCUCGGGGUUGUAAACUCCUUUUAUAUGGGAAUAAAGUGCAGUAUGUAUACUGCUUUGCAUGUACCUUAUGAAUAAGGAUCGGCUAACUCCGUGCCAGCAGCCGCGGUAAUACGGAGGAUCCGAGCGUUAUCCGGAUUUACUGGGGGGAAAGCGCUCGUAGGCGGGAUGGCAAGUCAAGGGUGAAAUCCCCGGGCUCAACGGGGGAACCGCCUUUGAAACUGGGAAACUGGAGUGUGGGAGAGGAUAGUGGAAGUCCAGGUGUAGGAGUGAAAUGCGUAGAUAUCUGGAGGAACAUCAGUGGCGAAGGCGACUAUCUGGCACAUAACUGACGCUGAGGAGCGAAAGCGUGGGUAGCAAACAGGAUUAGAUACCCCAGUAGUC